rnacentral:rRNA from 1 species
UGCCCCAUAGUCUGGGAUACCACUUGGAAACAGGUGCUAAUACCGGAUAAGAAAGCGGAUCGCAUGAUCAGCUUUUAAAAGGCGGCGUAAGCUGUCGCUAUGGGAUGGGCCCCCGCGGUGCAUUAGCUAGUUGGUAAGGUAAAGGCUUACCAAGGCGAUGAUGCAUAGCCGAGUUGAGAGACUGAUCGGCCACAUUGGGACUGAGACACGGCCCAAACUCCUACGGGAGGCAGCAGCG